CCACGGUAAGGUCAGCGACUGGGGUGAAGUCGUAACAAGGUAGCCGUAGGGGAACCUGCGGCUGGAUCACCUCCUUUCUAAGGA
rnacentral:rRNA from 1 species